ensembl:snoRNA
AUCCUUUUGUAGUUUAUAAACCUAGUAAUUGUUUUCACACUCAUGUGUUACAUGUGCCUCUCUCAAACCAUGUUAUGGCAUCAGCUCUUUACCUUUCUGAUA